AUGCUUGCCUUCAGUAGCACAUGUACUAGAAUUGAAAUGAUACAGGAAAGAUUAGCAUGGCCCCUGUGUAAGGACGACACACAAAUUCAUAAAGUGUUCCCUAUUUAA
ensembl:snRNA U6 U6 spliceosomal RNA